UAGACAUCUUGUAGCCACAGUGUCU
rnacentral:piRNA from 1 species